ACGGGAGGCAGCAGUGAGGAAUAUUGGUCAAUGGGCGAGAGCCUGAACCAGCCAAGUCGCGUGAAGGAUGAAGGUUCUAUGGAUUGUAAACUUCUUUUGUUCGAGGGUAAAGUGAGGGAUGCGUCCCUUAUUGCAAGUAUCGAACGAAUAAGCAUCGGCUAACUCCGUGCCAGCAGCCGCGGUAAUACGGAGGAUGCGAGCGUUAUCCGGAUUUAUUGGGUUUAAAGGGUGCGUAGGCGGGAUGUUAAGUCAGCGGUGAAAGCGUGUAGCUCAACUAUACCAAGCCGUUGAAACUGGCGUUCUUGAGUGUAAACGAGGUAGGCGGAAUGUGACGUGUAGCGGUGAAAUGCUUAGAUAUGUCACAGAACCCCGAUUGCGAAGGCAGCUUACCAGCAUACAACUGACGCUGAGGCACGAAAGUGCGGGGAUCAAACAGGAUUAGAUACCCUGGUA
rnacentral:rRNA from 1 species